UUGACGGUUUUUGGUUUGAUUCGGUUAAUAGCGAAAACCAAACUUGCGCUAAAACUUUUGCUUAGAAAUACAUGAAUUCGAGGUAUAAAUGCUAGAAAUAUAUGAAAAUACGAAUGGUUCGGUUCAGUUAAUUUUGGUUAAAGAUGGUACAAAAAAAUCGAUAACUGGUUUUGGUUAAUUCAGGUUUCGGUUAAUUCAGUUUAUGGUUGAUUUCGGUUCGGUUUCGUCUGUUUUUGGUUCAGUUAACGAUUCAGUUAUUGCUCACCCUUAGGCACUGUUAAUCACGUAACAUGUCAUUUUUUUAACAAAAAAUUAUAGCAAUACUAUACUC
rnacentral:lncRNA from 1 species